rnacentral:rRNA from 1 species
AGUAACGCGUGGAUAACCUGCCUCACACUGGGGGAUAACAGUUGGAAACGACUGCUAAUACCGCAUAAGCCCACGGCUCGGCAUCGAGCAGAGGGAAAAGGAGUGAUCCGCUUUGAGAUGGCCUCGCGUCCGAUUAGCUAGUUGGUGAGGUAACGGCCCACCAAGGCAACGAUCGGUAGCCGGACUGAGAGGUUGAACGGCCACAUUGGGACUGAGACACGGCCCAG